GACGAACGCUGGCGGCGUGCUUAACACAUGCCAGUCGAACGGAAAGGCCCUGCUUUUGUGGGGUGCUCGAGUGGCGAACGGGUGAGUAACACGUGAGUAACCUGCCCUUGACUUUGGGAUAACUUCAGGAAACUGGGGCUAAUACCGGAUAGGAGCUCCUGCUGCAUGGUGGGGGUUGGAAAGUUUCGGCGGUUGGGGAUGGACUCGCGGCUUAUCAGCUUGUUGGUGGGGUAGUGGCUUACCAAGGCUUUGACGGGUAGCCGGCCUGAGAGGGUGACCGGCCACAUUGGGACUGAGAUACGGCCCAGACUCCUACGGGAGGCAGCAGUGGGGAAUAUUGCACAAUGGGCGGAAGCCUGAUGCAGCAACGCCGCGUGCGGGAUGACGGCCUUCGGGUUGUAAACCGCUUUCGCCUGUGACGAAGCGUGAGUGACGGUAAUGGGUAAAGAGGCACCGGCUAACUACGUG
rnacentral:rRNA from 1 species